rnacentral:rRNA from 1 species
UGUGAACUGCAGGACACAUGAACACCGACACGUUGAACGCAUAUGGCGCAUCGGCUCGCCUCAAAACGACCGAUGCACACAUCCUUGAGUGUCUACUUACGUUGAACGCAAACACCGCCAAACAAUCCGUUGCCCGCUUCCGCACACCAAACGGGGACUCCGCUCGACCGCGGCCCCGGCGGGGAAGGCUUCGGUGCGUUUACUCGACUACGGCAUGCCGCGCGGACCUUGCCGCGCCCGCUCCCAGAUCCCCUCGCACGGGGUGAGAGCGGGCGCACACAGGCGGGUCGAGGCGGACGCCGUGCAUAAGGGCGUGCUGGGCGUGGCUUCGCGCCGCCCCAGGGCGCUGGUUUGGUGUGUAUUGCGAGCGGGAUCGAGUGGGGCGGCCGUCACUGGCCCCUGCACGCGCACGACGCGCGUGGUCUCUCUGGGUCGCGUAGCUGUUGCGCCGAGCGGCCUUCCGAGGUCUGCGCGCGCCUGAUGCUUGCGACCGCCACCACGCAGAGAGAGCCACCAACUGUCGUGCGGUCGGUGCCUAUAAGGUUCAGACAGUGCACGCGCCUGCCCCCAGAGAUCUCGCGACCCACAUGCACACACUGCCGCGCAACCGGCCCUCGGCGACGAGGUGCACGAGCAACAACCGGCCUUUCAACGUAGACCUCAGGUGAUGUGUGGUAACCCCCUGAAUUUAAGCAUA